rnacentral:rRNA from 1 species
UACGUAGGGCGCAAGCGUUGUCCGGAAUUAUUGGGCGUAAAGAGCUCGUAGGCGGUUUGUCGCGUCUGUCGUGAAAGCCCACGGCUUAACCGUGGGUCUGCGGUGGAUACGGGCAGACUAGAGGCAGGUAGGGGAGAAUGGAAUUCCCGGUGUAGCGGUGAAAUGCGCAGAUAUCGGGAGGAACACCGGUGGCGAAGGCGGAUCUCUGGGCCGUAACUGACGCUGAGGAGCGAAAGCGUGGGGAGCGAACAGG